rnacentral:rRNA from 1 species
AGAGUUUGAUCAUGGCUCAGAACGAACGCUGGCGGCGCGUUUUAAGCAUGCAAGUCGAGCGGCAAGGGCCUUCGGGCCCCUAGAGCGGCGGACGGGUGAGUAACACGUGGACAAUCUGCCCCCCGGUCGGGGAUAGCCCAUGGAAACAUGGGGUAAUACCGGAUGCGACCGGCCGCGCACAAGCGCGGGCGAGGAAAGGCGCCAAGGCGCCGCCGGGGGAUGAGUCCGCGGUCCAUUAGCUAGUUGGCGGGGUAACGGCCCACCAAGGCGACGAUGGAUAGCCGGCCUGAGAGGGCGAUCGGCCACAUUGGGACUGAGACGCGGCCCAGACUCCUACGGGAGGCAGCAGCUAAGAAUCUUCCGCAAUGGACGCAAGUCUGACGGAGCGACGCCGCGUGAACGAUGAAGGCCGUGAGGUUGUAAAGUUCUUUUCCGGGGGGGGAAUAAGGAUGGCAGGGAAUGGCCGUCCGAUGACGUGAACCCGGGAAUAAGCCCCGGCUAACUACGUGCCAGCAGCCGCGGUAACACGUAGGGGGCGAGCGUUGUUCGGAAUCAUUGGGCGUAAAGGGUGCGCAGGCGGCAUGCCAAGUCUGGUGUGAAAUACCCCGGCUCAACCGGGGAGACGCGCUGGAAACUGGCGUGCUUGAGUACAGGAGGGGGAGCUGGAAUUCCAGGUGUAGGGGUGAAAUCUGUAGAUAUCUGGAAGAACACCGGUGGCGAAGGCGAGCUCCUGGCCAUGUACUGACGCUGAGGCACGAAGGCGUGGGGAGCAAACAGGUUUAGAUACCCUGGUAGUCCACGCAGUAAACGAUGUACACUAGGUGGUGGGCGGUAGCGCUCAGUACCGAAGCAAACGCAUUAAGUGUACCGCCUGGGGAGUAUGCUCGCAAGGGUGAAACUCAAAGGAAUUGACGGGGGCCCGCACAAGCGGUGGAGCAUGUGGUUUAAUUCGAUGAU